AGUGCCGCGCCGGGAUUUAUGAGCGGGAUUCGUUGAUGUCGUCUUAUACGGGGGUACUAAAAUUCCCCCCGGCACGA
rnacentral:tRNA from 1 species